rnacentral:rRNA from 1 species
GAUUAACGCUGGCGGCGUGCAUAAAACAUGCAAGUCGAGCGCGGUGCGACUUCGGUCGCAUCUAGCGGCGCACGGGUGAGUAACACGUGAGCAACCUACCUUGGAGUCCGGGAUAGCCCUGAGAAAUCAGGAUUAAUACCGGAUGAUGUCAUCACCAGGCAUCUGGAGAUGAGAAAAGGCGCAAGCCGUUCCAAGACGGGCCCGCGGCCUAUUAGCAGUUGGUGGGGUAACGGCCUACCAAGGCGGAGA